rnacentral:lncRNA from 1 species
GGAAAAUAACAGCAACUGGAAUUAUAGUCAAAGAGUGGGGUAAUGGAGAUAUUUUCAGUGGGGAAAAAUGAUUCUGAUUGUAUUCACGGAACGAAUGAAAGGCAGAGAAACCCAGAACAUCAAUGAACUAAAGCGUAUGGCUUGAGUAGUAUGCUGCAGUCCAUCUGUCGGCCCUGUGAACUGUACCUAUGGCGCCCCCUGGAGUUUUAUCAAUACUCUACAGUGACAGCUCCACACAAGCAGACUGAAAUGUGGACAGAGAGAACAAGGAAGAAAGAAGAGAAAAAAGAAGAGUGUAAGUCAAUAAGAAGAGAAGAGGGGAGAAUUAUCAGUAAAUAAAAGUCCUGAAUGUUGGAAAAAUUUCUAUAGCUGGGUAAAAGAGGUAAGGGCUGAGAAUGUUAGAGAGAAUAUUUGUAGAAACAGGAGAAGUAACACAGAGGCAAUGAAGUGUAGUUAGAGAUUUGGGGCUGGGGCCAGCUGUGAGAGUAGCAGAAUCUGUUAAUAUGUUGGGCUACCUCAUGUUGGGACUGUCUAUAGACAAUUUUGGUACAAGUUGCCCUGACUUGUUCAUGAAAGUUACCAUUUAGUUUAAAGGACUGAAAGGACAGAGGGAAGAUGGAGGGAUAAGAUAGAACAUAACAGAGAAGUAAAAAGAGAAGAGAAAGAGAACAAAAUAACUACCAGAAAAAAAAAAAGAAAAAUAAUACACACAGUUUCAAUAACACAAAAUAAAAGCAAACUCACAGUCCUAUUUAGAUUGCAGUUUUAUCUCAAUGGCAGGCCACCUCUCCAUGAUUUGUACAAUUGCAUGGUUGUGAAUAAGGAGGCUUGUUGAUAUGGAUGCUCCUCUGGGGCCCACUUCCAGAGCUGUGCUCUGGGUACGGCUAACUGUGAUCCUUUGCCUCUGUACCAAGAUCUGAAUACCUCAGUUAAGUUGGUGAGGGGAGGGUGCAGUGUGAUUGGCCUAGGACCCAGUUCUCCAGAAACAAAACACAGUAGUGUUGACGACACAAAGAUAAACCAGAUAUUGACAUAGAGUAAAGACUAUUUAAUAGCAGCAACUAUGUCACUACUGACCAUAACUAAGGAAUCAGCAAUAAUAAUAGAAUCAAAGAUGAACUGGAUAUUGACAUGCAAUGGAAACCAAUAAAAGGUGCUACUAUACCUCUUUUAACUAUAGAAAUGAGAUCUGCAAUAAUAAUAUAGACAUAAAGGCAAACCAAAUAUUGACAUACAAUAAAAAUCUUCUAAAUGUAAUAUCUAUGCCACAAUUAAGAAUAGAAAAGAAUUCAACAGAAAUAGACUAGAAUCAAAUAUUAUCUAUGUUUAUUUGUUUGUUUUGUUUUGGUACUGGGAAUCAAACUCACAACCUUGAGCUUGCCAGGCAGGUUCUGUGCUGCUGAGCUAUAUCCCUGGCUCCUCAAUUAAAUAUCUAAAGUUACUAGAGCCUAAUAGUAAUAUUAAUAACUAUGGAAGAAGUAGAGAAGGAAAACAUGAAAUAAAUAAAAUUUGAAAAAUGAAAAAAGGAAGUUGAGAAAGAGGAAAUAAAAAUGAGAAAAGAUCCAAAGAAAGAGUAAAAGAAAAUUAACAGAAUUAGAUAAAGUAAAGAAAAUACAAGAUAAAGAGAAAGGACACCAGAAUACCAGAAUCCAG